rnacentral:rRNA from 1 species
UACAGAGGUCUCAAGCGUUGUUCGGAUUCAUUGGGCGUAAAGGGUGCGUAGGUGGCGAGGUUAGUCAGGUGUGAAAUCUCGGGGCUCAACCCCGAAACUGCACUUGAUACUGCCUUGCUAGAGUACUGGAGAGGAGAUUGGAAUUUACGGUGUAGCAGUGAAAUGCGUAGAUAUCGUAAGGAAGACCAGUGGCGAAGGCGAAUCUCUGGGCAGUUACUGACACUGAGGCACGAAGGCCAGGGGAGCAAACGGG